UACGAAGGGGGCUAGCGUUGCUCGGAAUCACUGGGCGUAAAGCGCACGUAGGCGGGUCGUUAAGUCGGGGGUGAAAUCCUGGAGCUCAACUCCAGAACUGCCUUCGAUACUGGCGACCUUGAGUCCGGGAGAGGUGAGUGGAACUCCGAGUGUAGAGGUGAAAUUCGUAGAUAUUCGGAAGAACACCAGUGGCGAAGGCGGCUCACUGGCCCGGUACUGACGCUGAGGUGCGAAAGCGUGGGGGAGCAAACAGG
rnacentral:rRNA from 1 species